UACGAAGGGGGCGAGCGUUGUUCGGAUUUACUGGGCGUAAAGGGCGCGUAGGCGGCCCUCCUUGUCGCGUGUGAAAGCCCCGGGCUCAACCUGGGAACGGCGCGCGAGACGGGGGGGCUGGAGUUCGGGAGAGGAGCGUGGAAUUCCCAGUGUAGAGGUGAAAUUCGUAGAGAUGUGGAGGAACACCAGUGGCGAAGGCGACUCUUUGGCCUGUAACUGACGCUGAGGCGCGAAAGCGUGGGGAGCAAACAGG
rnacentral:rRNA from 1 species